CGGUAAUUCCAGCUCCAGUAGCGUAUAUUAAAGUUGUUGCAGUUGAAACGCUCGUAGUCUGAAAUUAAUCCUUAUGGGGAGAACCGCUCACCCCACUUGCAUAUCGCCGGUGGUCAGUGACGGUCAUUCACCUUGAUGAAUCUAGAGUGUUCAAGGCAGGCUUUGCCUGAAUACUGCUGCAUGGAAUGAGAUUGAUAUUAUAUCCUCUCUCGGUCGGAGAGAUCAAAGUAUCUUAAGAAACAGUCGAGGGCAUUCGUACUUGUUCGCCAGAGGUGAAAUUCUAGGAUUGAACAAAGACGAACAAAAGCGAAAGCAUCUGCCAAGGAUGUUUCCUUUGAUCAAGAACGAAGGUCAAGGGAUCAAAGACGAUCAGAUACCGUCGUAGUCCUGACUGUAAACUAUGCCAACUAGAGCUUAAUUGAGCUAACAAAACUCAGUUAGGAUCUAGAGAGAAAUCAAAGUUUUUGGGUUCUGGGGGAAGUAUGGUCACAAGGCUGAAACUUGAAGGAAUUGACGGAAGGGCACCACCAGGCGUGGAGCUUGCGGCUUAAUUUGACUCAACGCGGGAAAACUUACCAGGUCAAAACAUGGCUAUGAUUGACAGGCUGAAAGUCCUUUCUCGAUUCCAUGGUUGGUGGUGCAUGGCCGUUCUUAGUUGGUGGACUGAUCAGUCUGGUUAAUUCCGGUAACGAACGAGACCUUGGCCUGCUAACUAGAUGAGUUUCAUUUGAAACUCUUCUUCUUAGAGGGACAAUGGUGGUUACAUCACUGAAGCUCGAGGUAAUAACAGGUCUGUUAUGCCCUUAGAUGUCCUGGGCCGCACGCGUGCUAUACUGACGCAUUCAGAAAGUUACUUGCUCGGAAGGGUUAGUUAAUCAACAAUAUGCGUCAUGUAGGGACAGUUCCUUGUAAUUGUGGAGCUCUAACGAGGAAUGCCUAGUAAGUGCAAGUCAACAUCUUGUACUGAUUACGUCCCUGCCCCUUGUACACACCGCCC
rnacentral:rRNA from 1 species